GCAAGGAUUUUUAUUCUACUGUAUGGAUGAGAAAUGUCAGCUGAAUUAUCAAGGUUUAUGACAAGGGGCUCCACUGAAGUUAUUCUAUUUCUAGUUUGGUGUCAAGCAUUCUUUCUCUAAAAUAUUUUUAGGUAGAAAACUCAGACUCAUAGAAACGCGAGGAUUUACCAUUGGUUUCCAACUAAUAUUGAGCUCCAGAAUAUCUGAAGAUUUGUCUAUUUUUGACAUAAUUGUAGCUUUUACUAAUACAUCCUAACGGCUGAUCUGGUUACACACAUGAAAUAUCACUGUGUGUGUGGCUGCUAUUGUCUAAAAAUCAAAGUCUUUUGCAAUUUUAUUUGGUGGCAAUAAAUCUUUCCAGACCUUGAGUAUUUCCCCACAGGCCUCAUGGCUUCUGCUGUCAGACACAAUCUUCCUUUGAAGAGAGUCUCAAUUGGAACACUAUAAAAUCAUCUUCAGAUCCUAGCCAAAGUCCUGAGCCUGGUUCAUCAGCUGAUUGCCUCCCUGCUCCACUUUGGGCCCACUCCAUGCUGGAGACAUUCAGUGAGGGGUGUGUGUGUGUGUGUGUGUGUGUGUGUGUGUGUGUGUGGCGGGGGAGUGUUGUAAAUGGCAAGGACUUUCUUCUCUUGCUUCCUGUUUUUUUUGUACCCACAUACAGCUGUUUCAGAGUUUGUUCUCCACAGGAGUCAAAGCAGAAAAGGAAGAGAAGAUAAAGGGAUAGGACAUUUCUUAUUAGGUCUCUCUGUGAUGGAAGUGGCCGUGGAAUGGAAAGUGGAAGCAAGGAAGACAUGAAAACAUAGAGCUGCCUUUGUAGGGACUGUGCCCAUGGAAGGGCUCAUCCUCCUACUGCGGUGCAAACUGCCAGGAAGCAAAAUGCCAUGAUGUGCUGUGGUCAAAAGCUGAGCUGAUACCAACUGAUACCAUGCCUUUGAACCUUUGGAACUGUG